rnacentral:rRNA from 1 species
AACGCGAAGAACCUUACCUGGGUUUGACAUGCUGGGAUUAUCCCCAUGAAAGUGGGGUAGGCCCUUCGGGGUACAACCAGUACAGGUGUUGCAUGGCUGUCGUCAGCUCGUGUCGUGAGAUGUCGGGUUAAGUCCCUUAACGAGCGAAACCUUUGCCCUUAGUUACCAGCGGGUUAUGCCGGGGACUCUAAGGGGACUGCCGGUGUCAAACCGGAGGAAGGUGGAGAUGACGUCAAGUCCUCAUGGCCUUUAUGCCCAGGGCUACACACGUGCUACAAUGGGGUGGAUAAAGCGAACCUAAAGUGCGAACUCAUGGAAAUACGCAAAAAUACACCCCCCACGUUCAGAUCGGAGGCUGCAACUCGCCUCCGUGAAGUUGGAAUCGCUAGUAAUCGCGGAUCAGCUACGCCGCGGUGAAUGUGUUCCCGGGCCUUGUACACACCGGAGUGC